CCCGCUUGGAUAUGGAGACGUUUUUGCAAGCGUUCGCCAUCGUAGGCGAAGAAGACAUUGAGACGGCCACCACAGAAGUGCUCAUGGCGUGCUACGGCAGGGAGUGGCGAGAAAUCGCUGUGCAGCGGGGACUAGAGGGGGAGCUCUUUUUCAGAGUGCCCCGAAGCUUAGAGGAGCAUACUUUACCGCUAGAAGGUACUGCUCCUUUAAGCUUCGGGGAAGCGGAGCACCUCCUCUACUCCCUGGUGCACCAGUGGAACAGAGCGAGUGCAGCGGGUUGGAGAGAACUCGCUGAACGCUGGAUGGCGAGUCAAAUACCAUUGGAUCCCUGGGUUCUUAUAGAAGACCAUGAAGCACCCAUGUAAACACGUCAGCCAAUAAACGCAUAUCGUCUUUCGCAU